GACAGAGGAUGCAAGCGUUAUCCGGAAUGAUUGGGCGUAAAGCGUCUGUAGGUGGCUUUUUAAGUCCGCCGUCAAAUCCCAGGGCUCAACCCUGGACAGGCGGUGGAAACUACCAAGCUGGAGUACGGUAGGGGCAGAGGGAAUUUCCGGUGGAGCGGUGGAAAUGCGUAGAGAUUGGAAAGAACACCGAUGGCGAAGGCACUUUACUGGGCUAUUACUAACACUCAGAGACGAAAGCUAGGGUAGCAAAUGGG
rnacentral:rRNA from 1 species